rnacentral:misc_RNA from 1 species
GAUGAAGAACGCAGCGAAAUGCGAUAAGUAGUGUGAAUUGCAGAAUUCAGUGAAUCAUCGAAUCUUUGAACGCACAUUGCGCCCCUUGGUAUUCCAUGGGGCAUGCCUGUUCGAGCGUCAUUUGUACCUUCAAACUCUGCUUGGUGUUGGGUGUUUGUCUCGCCUCUGCGUGUAGACUCGCCUCAAAACAAUUGGCAGCCGGCGUAUUGAUUUCGGAGCGCAGUACAUCUCGCGCUUUGCACUCAUAACGACGACGUCCAAAAGUACAUUUUUACACUCUUGACCUCGGAUCAGGUAGGGAUACCCGCUGAACUUAAGCAUAUCAAUAAGCGGAGGA